GACAAACGCUGGCGGCGUGCCUAAAACAUGCAAGUCGUACGGUCCUUCGGGACAGUGGCGGACGGCUGAGUAACACGUAGGUAACCUACCCUCGAGUGGGGAAUAACCCCGGGAAACCGGAGCUAAUACCGCAUACGACCGCCGGACCACGGAUCGGUGAGGAAAGUCGCAAGGCGCUCGAGGAUGGGCCUGCGUCCGAUUAGCUAGUUGGUGAGGUAACGGCCCACCAAGGCAUCGAUCGGUAGCUGGUCUGAGAGGAUGAUCAGCCAGACUGGGACUGUGACACGGCCCAGACUCCUACGGGAGGCAGCAGUUAGGAAUCUUGGGCAAUGGGCGAAAGCCUGACCCAGCAACGCCGCGUGGGUGAUGAAGGCCUUCGGGUCGUAAAGCCCUUUUACACGGGAAGAUAAUGACGGUACCGUGUGAAUAAGCCCCGGCUAACUACGUGCCAGCCGCCGCGGUAACAC
rnacentral:rRNA from 1 species